rnacentral:lncRNA from 1 species
UUGAGGAGGAGGUGGGGGUGCUAGCCUCCCCAGCCCUCACUCUCUUCUCCCCCAGGGCAGUGUUUCCCAAUUAUACAUCUCUGUCAUCAGCACCUCCUCUUCAUGUCUGGGCCCAUCUGCUUUCCAUCCCAGUUCCUGCGUGGCUCCAUCACCAGAGAAAGCAGGACCUCACAGCAAGACAAUCUUUUUAGCCUUGCUCAACA